rnacentral:misc_RNA from 1 species
GAUGAAGAACGUAGCGAAAUGCGAUAAGUAAUGUGAAUUGCAGAAUUCAGUGAAUCAUCGAGUCUUUGAACGCAAGUUGCGCCCGAAGCCACUAGGCCGAGGGCACGCCUGCCUGGGCGUCACACGCCGUUGCCCCCCCAUCUACUCCUUCGGGAUUGCGGGGGGGCGGAUGAUGGCCUCCCGUGCGCCUAGCCGCGCGGUUGGCAUAAAUACCAAGUCCUCGGCGACGCACGCCACGACAAUCGGUGGUUGCGAAACCUCGGUUGCCCGUCGUGUGCGUUCGUCGCGCAUCGAGGGCUCGAAAAAAUGCUCGGCUCCGGCUGGGCUUUCAACGCGACCCCAGGUCAGGCGGGGUUACCCGCUGAAUUUAAGCAUAUCAAUAAGCGGAGGA